rnacentral:tRNA from 3 species
GCCUUCGUAGCUCAAUGGUUAGAUCAUCCGACUCUUAAUCGGAAGGCUGUGGGUUCGAGUCCCACCGAGGGCU